GACGAACGCUGGCGGCGUGCUUAACACAUGCAAGUCGAACGGAAAGGCCCUGCUUUUGUGGGGUGCUCGAGUGGCGAACGGGUGAGUAACACGUGAGUAACCUGCCCUUGACUUUGGGAUAACUUCAGGAAACUGGGGCUAAUACCGGAUAGGAGCUCCUGCUGCAUGGUGGGGGUUGGAAAGUUUCGGCGGUUGGGGAUGGACUCGCGGCUUAUCAGCUUGUUGGUGGGGUAGUGGCUUACCAAGGCUUUGACGGGUAGCCGGCCUGAGAGGGUGACCGGCCACAUUGGGACUGAGAUACGGCCCAGACUCCUACGGGAGGCAGCAGUGGGGAAUAUUGCACAAUGGGCGGAAGCCUGAUGCAGCAACGCCGCGUGCGGGAUGACGGCCUUCGGGUGGUAAACCGCUUUCGCCUGUGACGAAGCGUGAGUGACGGAAAUGGGUAAAGAAGCACCGGCUAACUACGU
rnacentral:rRNA from 1 species